rnacentral:rRNA from 1 species
UACAGAGGGUGCGAGCGUUAAUCGGAAUUACUGGGCGUAAAGCGCGCGUAGGCGGCUUGGUCAGUCGGAUGUGAAAGCCCCGGGCUCAACCUGGGAAUGGCAUUCGAUACUGCCAGGCUAGAGUAUGGGAGAGGGAAGUGGAAUUUCCGGUGUAGCGGUGAAAUGCGUAGAUAUCGGAAAGAACACCAGUGGCGAAGGCGACUUCCUGGCCCAAUACUGACGCUGAGGUGCGAAAGCGUGGGGAGCGAACAGGAUUAGAUACCCUAGUAGUCC